GACGAACGCUGGCGGCGUGCCUAACACAUGCAAGUCGAACGAAAUUACGAAGAAAGCUUGCUUUAAUCGUAAUUUAGUGGCGGACGGGUGAGUAACGCGUGAGGACUUGUCGGAUACAGGGGGACAACAGAUGGGAAAACGUCUGCUAAAUACCCCCAUAAGCCUUCGGGUAAAAGGAGCAAUCCGGUAUUUGAGAGACUCGCGUUCUAUCAGCUAGUAGGUGGGUAACGCCCACCUAGGCCAAGACGGAUAGCCGGACUGAGAGGUCGACCGGCCACGACUGGAACCUGAGAGACGGUCCAGACUCCUACGGGAGGCAGCAGUGGGGAAUAUUGGGCAAUGGGGGGAACCCU
rnacentral:rRNA from 1 species